rnacentral:rRNA from 1 species
AAACUUUCAACAAUGGAUCUCUUGGCUCUUGCAUCGAUGAAGAACGCAGUGAAGUGAAGUGCGAUAUGUAGUGUGAAUUGCAGAAUUCCGUGAAUCAUCGAAUCUUUGAACGCAUAUUGCACUCUCUGGUAUUCCGGAGAGUAUGCCUAUUUGAGGGUCAUU